AUUAUUUUAAUUUUUUAAACCGAUUCUUUACACAUAUCUAAAAAAAAACAUAAACCGUGACAAAACAAAUAUUAUAUAGACAUUAGGUACAAUCCAUUACGUUCGACAUAACGAAAAUAUUUUUAUUUGGCUCGAUGUAACUCUCUGAUUUACUUUAUAAAACGUCAUCGUUUAAUCAAAUCUUAUAUUCCCCCCUCCGUAAACACUCGAUAAAAAUUAGUUUGCAAAAAUAUUUUUCAGUAUCUAAGAAGAACGUUUUAUUUAUUAUAAAUUUAAAUAUAUUAUACACUAUUUCGUUACUCGUAGUUUUUUCACUCUGUGUCGAUUUUCAUUUCGGCCCAAUUUCUUUUAUUUAUA